rnacentral:lncRNA from 13 species
AAAUGUUACACAUCAAAUCUCAGAGAGAGCGCUUGAAUUUACAAAUAGGUACAGACUUUCUCGAUUAUGCCUAUUCCGUGAUCUUAGACAAGUUAUAAUGGUUUUGUGACCUCUCGUAUACAUAUCGGCUAUGAUCUCUUUCUCACUUGUGUUUGUACCGUUGACGAGGAAACAUCGACUAUCCCUGUGCUAUUAUUUAUUAUAUUUAUUAUAUUUAUUUGGUUUUAUGUCCGACUUAUAAUAUUUGAAGAUGUGUGUUAUUUAUUAUCUUACAUAUUUGACGUCAAUUUAAAGGCCUUGAUUUUGGCAGUCGCAGAUUACGACAUGAUCGUUCGUUUUGUCCAUCUUGGUUGUCAAUAUUGAUGGAUCACUAUUUUCAAUUUUUGAACAUGUGGAAGCGACGUUACGGCUUGUCAAUUUCUUACUUUUAAGUCGGAGACAACCUGCUGAAUAGUAGAAGUUUUUUCCUGUCUGUCAACGCGAUCACUACUCUACACGACUCUUAAUACAACGUUAAUUUUGAAUCGUUGAGAACGACUUCAAGAGAAGUCAAAACGCGUCCAAUAUUUGUAUGCAUAUUUAUGUGCUAAAAGGGAAAUACAUGUACUAUUAUUAUUGACGCACCAA